ACUCUGCCACGCAGAAGCACCCACGAGGAAUCCCAGCCCGAAAUUAACGCUAACCACCCACCUAUUGCCCCUAAUCUCACCCCUCGAGCGUGGGCGGCCACCGGCGAAGGAUGCCGCGCUCCAGCCCGCGGCGCGGCGGGUCCCCUCCCCUCCCCCUCCCUUUCGGCCACACCGGUCUCCUCCUUAACCACGAAGUGGGCGCACGCGGUGCGGGCUCCGGCGAACGCGGCCGCGCGCGAUCCAGCCGCCCGGCGGCUCCCGCAUCCCUCGCCUCUCCGGUCGCAAGUCGCUUCCCUAACCACAAAUUGGGCGCACUCGGGGUGGGAUCCGGCGAACGUGGCCGCACGCGAUCCAGCGGCCCGGCGGCGCCCGUAUCCCUCGCCUCUCCGGUCGCACAUCUCCUUCCUUCCUACGAAGUUGGUGCACGCAGGGCGGACUCUCCGUCAACCACCUCCAGGAGCUCUGCUUCCGGAAAGGCGGCAUCUACAUCAAGCUCGGCAAGCACAUCGCAAACUGGUGUAUGUGCCGACGAUGAGGGCGCCGAUGCAAAAGAGGUGCCCAGUUUCCUCAUACGAGGACGUCUACGAAGUCUUCAAUAAAGAGAUUGGAGAAAAUUGCCACAAACUGUUCAACAUGACCACUUGGUGGAUACUUCUGUAAUAGAUAUCGCCACCGUGGAUUUAGUAGUGAAUGCUCUUCAUUAUAUUUUCCCUACAUUUGACUACAGGUAAAACCACAACUGUUCUUUGUUUAUUACCUUGUUCUAUCUCUCCCUCUUUUUAACAUACCACCUCGAAAGCUUUUAGACUUAUGCUGAUUUUUAGAAUUUGUUAUGAUAGAGAGAAGGACUCCAAUCUGCAUGCUUUGAAAAUACUAAUGAAAUGAGGGUUUGCUUCCUAAAACAUAUGUUAGUAUUCAAUGAUUCCAGACAGGUUGUGGACUUUCCACGCUCUCAGACAGCAACAUUCUUUUAUCCAACGGUGAUGUGAUUUUAUCCAUCUGAAGAUUGUGUUAUCAUUUGUUUAAAUUCGAGUGAUAUUACACAUGUAGCUUGCUAGGUAUAUUUUAGAAUAGUUACUUAUGGAAAAUUCUUAGAGGUCAUAGAUGGGACAGCAGACAACAUUUCAGAUACGUCGCAGCUGGGCACCAUGAUCAUUGCCCCAAUAUCUCCUUUUUAUGUUGUGAAGAUAUACAUGUAGGUUUCCUUUUUGGUAAUUUUUGGAAAUCACAAAUGAUGUUAGUAUUAUGGUUGUACUGCAAUUUGCAAGGUUUCUGGUCAUGCUAUUUCAAAAAUACCUUUUAGAUGUGCUUGCUUUCCUACUGCUUGUUCAAAAUUCAUUUUUACUAUUGGAAUAUGAUGAUACAUCUGAUUCAAACUGGAAUUCAGUUUUCUUGUACAGAAAACAGAAGGAUCAGGUUGUACGUGAUAAUAUAUAUGCCUAGAAAAUGAAAGAUAUAAUAGAUUCCUAAGUACUACAACUAUCAUACCAUUCCAGGAAGUUACUUCUUGAUGUCAUUCUAGAAAAUAGAAGGAUCAAUAGAAUGUUCUCGGUGAUCAUUUUCUGUGUCCUUUUAGGCAGCAACACCAAGUAGCAUGGCUUCAUCUUAGAACUGUUCAAUAGGACCAUGUUUGAACUACUGCAUAUGUAAAGAUCAUUUCUUCACGACUUCUCUUAUGCUCCCAGGGAAUCCGGUCCAAACUCCACAUCGCUGUCACAGAACAAAGUUGGAGGCACAAUUGAAAGAGACCAGCUAGAUUCUUCUUCCGGGAAUUAAACAGAAAACCUGGCUAGAGAUUUCAUGGCAUGUCAUUCCAUUUAUCUUUGCUUGUGGGCUCAUCGUAUCCGAUGACAUAAUUGGCAUUUAUUUCAUAAUUAGCAUGUACUUGAGCACAUGAUGUGUUUUGCUUUAAUUAUGGACAACAAGGUAUGUUUACUUAUUGUGAUCAUAUAAGUGAACCAACAUAUCCAAGGGCUAAAGUUCAUAUCUACUAUGUAUGUUUAUUUUUCA